AUUAACAUUAUUUAUCAUAUAUUUAGUACAAAAUACAGCUAUUUUGUAUAUCUAAUAAAGGUUGUUUUUCCAGUCUGUAUCACCUACCCUGUAUCGCAUACCCCGUAUCGCAUAGCUAAACCCGUAUCGCAUACCCCGUAUCGCAUGGUAAAACCCGUAUCGCAUACCUUUUUUUUUUUUUUUAUUUUUUACAUAAAGUUUUUUGUUUUUCUUUUGCUUAAGAAAAAAUUUCCUCAAAAUAGGUCAUUUUUUUUAAUGACGUCAUUGUUUGGUAUGUAACGUCACGAACGUCAAGUUUUCAUAUUGUAUGUAACGUCACGAACGUCAAGUUUUCAUAUUUUUUGGCACACUAAAUGCAACUAUAAAAAAUACAAAACACUCAAAUAAAUACAAUAAUAAACAAAAUAUUUUUAAAACAGCAGCAGGCAAAUGGUAAGGUAAUCUAGGUGCUUUGUAUAAGCAGUUAUUUUAAGGCUUUGAACCAAGACAAAAGCAGAACUGAAGGUAACCCAGUGCUAAUCUAUCGGGAUCAGAAAACAGUUCAUAUAAUAUAAUACUCUUCUGUUGAAAUAUAUGAUAAAGCGUAUAAUACAUGGCAAAAUCCGUAUCACAUGCCGUAUCACCCUCGACCAAUAUCAUCCCUCGGGCCUAAAGGCCCUUGGGCUGAUAUUGAUGUCUCGGGAUGAUACGACAUAUGAUACGGAUUUUGCCAUGUAUUAUUCUCUAUAUAUACUGCAGCUGUCCUAUUUGAGCAGUCAAAUUGCAUUGACUGUAUAUUCAUAUGUGAUAUACAGUCACUGACCGUAUAUCACCUUGUUUAUGACGUUGACAAUGCGUUUUUCGUAGAGUUUUAUUUAUGACGUCAAUAAAACAUACAGGUUCGCGGAAAUUUUACGUCGUCCGCUCCAAAUUAAAAAAUGAUGGUUUUUACCCUAAAUACUUCAUUUAGAACACUUAUAAGAGUUGCAGUAUAUAAAGAAUAACCAUACAUUGUCUCGAAAUAUCAAUCGGUUAUUUGUACUCGGCUCGAAACAGGUAGAAAUGCUCGGCACAGCCUCGCUUUCUACCUGUUUCUAAGCCUUGUACAAAUAACAUUGAUAUUUCGAGACAAUGCAUGGUUAUUCUAUAUUUA
rnacentral:lncRNA from 1 species